UACGUAGGGGGCUAGCGUUAUCCGGAAUUACUGGGCGUAAAGGGUGCGUAGGCGGUCUUUCAAGCCAGAAGUGAAGGGCUACGGCUCAACCGUAGUAAGCUUUUGGAACUGUAAGACUUGAGUGCAGGAGGGGAAAGCGGAAUUCCCAGUGUAGCGGUGAAAUGCGUAGAUAUUGGGAAGAACACCGGUGGCGAAGGCGGCUUUCUGGACUGUAACUGACACUGAGGCACGAAAGCGUGGGGAGCAAACAGGAUUAGAUACCCGCGUAGUCCCUGAGCGGGCU
rnacentral:rRNA from 1 species